ACGUUAGCGGCGGACGGGUGAGUAACACGUGGGUAACCUACCUAUAAGACUGGGAUAACUUCGGGAAACCGGAGCUAAUACCGGAUAAUAUUUCGAACCGCAUGGUUGAUGGUGAAAGAUGGUUUUGCCAUCACUUAUAGAUGGACCCGCGCCGUAUUAGCUAGUUGGUAAGGUAACGGCUUACCAAGGCGACGAUACGUAGCCGACCUGAGAGGGUGAUCGGCCACACUGGAACUGAGACACGGUCCAGACUCCUACGGGAGGCAGCAGCG
rnacentral:rRNA from 1 species